CGGGACCGGUUUGGGAGCCGAGUGCUGGACACGGCCUGGGCCAGCGGCGACGCCCGGCAGCGAGCCCGGCUGGCCACCGAGCUGGCCCCUCACCUCCCGGCGCUGCUCCGGGACCCCUUCGGCCGCGGCGUCGCCCGGAAUUUUUCCCUGGAGCUUUUCCGGAGGGAUCGGCCAGGCUGGGAGCGGCUGCAGAGGGGGGCGGGGCCAAAGGGGCGUGGCCUGAGCCUCUGACCACGCCCCCAACCCUUCUGUCCCGCCCCUCAUUUGCAUAUUCAUAAUUAAACCAUUUAUUUUUGAUUUUUGGGGUUGUUUCUAUGGAAACGAGUGUGGCUUGUUGAGAAAUGGGCGUGGCCUGAGUCUCUGACCACGCCCACACCUUUUCUGUCCCACCCCUCAUUUGCAUAUUCAUAAUUAAACAUUUUAUUUGGGA